AAUUGCCUAAAUAAUACGGUUGUCAUUUUGAAAAACCUACUAAUUGACGAUAUUGGGAAUCUAAUUUAUUGGUGGUGUUGAAAGCUUGCUUUUAAGUGAGACUCCUAAAAUCAGUAAUGUGAUGCCCACCUGGGAGACUAGGUUUUUAAUCGUUGCGACGCCGAUUAUUUGGGCUUUUU
rnacentral:other from 1 species